GACGAACGCUGGCGGCGUGCUUAACACAUGCAAGUCGAACGGUAAGGCCCUUCGGGGUACACGAGUGGCGAACGGGUGAGUAACUCGUGGGUGAUCUGCCCUGCACUUCGGGAUAAGCCUGGGAAACUGGGUCUAAUACCGGAUAGGACCACUGCCUGCAUGGGUGGUGGUGGAAAGCUUUUGCGGUGUGGGAUGGGCCCGCGGCCUAUCAGCUUGUUGGUGGGGUGAUGGCCUACCAAGGCGACUACGGGUAGCCGGCCUGAGAGGGUGACCGGCCACACUGGGACUGAGGUACGGCCCAGACUCCUACGGGAGGCAGCAGUGGGGAAUAUUGCACAAUGGGCGCAAGCCUGAUGCAGCGACGCCGCGUGAGGGAUGACGGCCUUCGGGUUGUAAACCUCUUUCAGCACCGACGAAGCGCAAGUGACGGUAGGUGCAGAAGAAGGACCGGCCAACUACGUGCCAGCCGCCGCAGUAA
rnacentral:rRNA from 1 species